rnacentral:rRNA from 1 species
UACGGAGGUGGCAAGCGUUGCUCGGAAUCACUGGGCGUAAAGGGCGCGUAGGCGGGGGAGGUAAGUCGGGUGUGAAAUCCCUCGGCCCAACCGAGGAACUGCGCCCGAGACUGCUUCUCUUGAGUCCCGGAGAGGAAGAUGGAAUUCCCGGUGUAGCGGUGAAAUGUGUAGAGAUCGGGAGGAACACCGGUGGCGAAGGCGGUCUUCUGGACGGUGACUGACGCUGAGGCGCGAAAGCGUGGGGAGCAAACGGGG